rnacentral:rRNA from 1 species
GAUGAACGCUGGCGGUAUGCUUUACACAUGCAAGUCAUACGGAAAUUAGUUUCGGCUAAUUUCAGUGGCGGACGGGUGAGUAACACGUGAGAAUUCGCCUUUAGGAGGGGGAUAACAGGGGGGAAACACCUGCUAAAACCCCAUAUGCCUUCGGGUCAAAAGAGUAAUCUGCCUAAAGAGAAGCUCGCGGCUGAUUAGCUAGUUGGUGGGGUAAAGGCCUACCAAGGCGACGAUCAGUAGCUGGUCUGAGAGGAUGAUCAGCCACACUGGAACUGAGACACGGUCCAGACUCCUACGGGAGGCAGCAGUGAGGAAUUUUCUGCAAUGGGCGAAAGCCUGACAGAGCAAUACCGCGUGAGGGAAGAAGGCUUACUGAGUUGUAAACCUCUGUUACCUAAGGAGGAAGAUCUGACGUUACUUAGGAGACGAAGCAUCGGCUAACUCCGUGCCAGCAGCCGCGGUAAUGUGACUACUG